GGUAAAGAUACAAAUUAUGAACAAUAAAUAUGCAUCUAUCAACAAGUGAAUCUAAGAAUCAAGUGAAUAAAUAAUCUGAUGAACAGAAUGAACUGGUGAUUAUAAUAGAAUCAGGGACAUAGAAAGGGAAUGGACUGACUAUUCUUGGGGGGGGAAAGGGGUGUGGGAGAUGCGGGAAGAGACUGGACAAAAAUCGUGCACCUGUGGAUGAGGACAGUGGAUAUUCUCUUUAAUUUCUGUUAAAAAUUUGAGGGAGCUAGAAAUCUACAUUUGAAGUUAAGAAAAGGGGCUAUUUUUUAAUAUUUCUGUAACUGGGUAUUGUAUUUUCAAACUAAUAACAUUCUUUUCAUCAUUUCAUGCUGUCAUAAAUAACUAGCCUUUAUAAACUGCUUAUUUUAGAACAUAGCCUUGAGUAGCAAUUUUUAAUUUAUACAAUGGGUAUUUGCAAAAAUUCAAUGCUAGAUAGUAACUCAAAAUUGGAAGUACUGAUACACUAGUCAAAAGUGUUUUUUACUUAAUGUGUACAAAUUUCUUUAAAAAGACAACUUUUAAUGGCCAAAUAAGGAGAACAGUGUGUACUAUACCAAAAAGUUAUUAAAAUGUGUCAUUUUAUUUUCAAAACUCAUGCGUUUGUUACCUAUAGUUUUGGGCUUUGUGAACAAUUAAAUUACAAUGUAUAAGUGAAAAAUUAAUCCUAU